AGUAAAAGUACUUCAUGAGCUGCUUCAGAUUUGCACAGCUAAGAGCCCAUAUCCUUUCCAGAUACUUUAAAACUCCCCCAAUGAACAAUGGAAUAGCCAUAGCAUUUAGCGCGGUAUUCGAUUGAAACUUCACAUAAAUAUAAAUCGCCUCACCGAUUUGAAAGAACAUUCCAAGAAAGUGGCGCAACCAAACCUCAUUGUCUUCCAAAGAGUAAGCAGUGAUAUUGUUAGGGCUGCCGAGAUGUCAUAGAAGAAAAGGGGUCCAAAAGACAAUGAGUCCUUCUUUUAAUUCGUAGCUGCCUCGAAGAAGGGUACUAAGCACAAGGGUCGCCAUCCAAUCUGCUGAGAGAUAUAUUAGCCAAGCAAUUAUUGCUAUCACUGGCACCCAGUUUCCAGUAUAUUUCUUUCGUUUUCUCCCGAAAUAAACAAGAAGAAAUUGAAGAAAAAGACUCAACAUAACCAUAGAACGAAGCUCCCAUUUAUUCCAAAAUUUUUUGACAAUUUCAGAGAACACCCUCUUCAAGACUGAGUCCUUAACCUCUACAUACAGUAGAGUGAUGGCAACUGAAAAUUAAAAAUCUCAAUUAGCUUAGAUAAAAUAAGGGAAAAAAAAAGUUCAUUGAAAGGAUAUCCAGUUUAAUAGUUAAACAAAUUAUUUUUUCCAAUUAUAGAAAUAAGUCAUUAGUUGAUUCUAUAUGCAUAAAUCAUAAUUAUGAUGUAUGGUAAGGGCUAAAAGUAAUGUGUUUUAAUUUCAUUUUUAUGCUUAACGGAGCACUUGGGAGCAAAAGAAACGGAAAUCAAUGCCGG
rnacentral:lncRNA from 1 species